UGGGGAAUAUUGGGCAAUGGGCGCAAGCCUGACCCAGCGACGCCGCGUGAGGGAUGAAGGUCUUCGGAUUGUAAACCUCUUUCAGUGGGGAAGAAGCGAAAGUGACGGUACCCAAAGAAGAAGCACCGGCUAACUAUGUGCCAGCAGCCGCGGUAAUACAUAGGGUGCAAGCGUUGUCCGGAAUUAUUGGGCGUAAAGAGCUCGUAGGUGGUUUAUCACGUCGGAUGUGAAAUUCUGAGGCUCAACCUCGGACCUGCAUUCGAUACGGGCAAACUAGAGUGUGGUAGGGGAGACUGGAAUUCCUGGUGUAGCGGUGGAAUGCGCAGAUAUCAGGAGGAACACCAAUGGCGAAGGCAGGUCUCUGGGCCAUUACUGACACUGAGGAGCGAAAGCGCGGGGAGCGAACAGGAUUAGAUACCCUGGUAGUCCGCGCCGUAAACGGUGGGCACUAGUUGUGGGAACCUUCCACGGUUUCCGCGGCGCAGCUAACGCAUUAAGUGCCCCGCCUGGGGAGUACGAUCGCAAGAUUA
rnacentral:rRNA from 1 species